CAUAGCGACUAUCGUGGCAUAUCAAUAAGCGGAGGAAAAGAAACUAACAAGGAUUCCCUAGUAACGGCGAGUGAAGCGGGAAGAGCUCAAAUUUGAAAUCUUAAAGGUUUUCCCUUGACGAAUUGUAGUUUAAAGAAGUGUUUUCUGUUGGAGUUUUGGUAAAAGUUCUUUGGAAUAGGACAUCAUAGAGGGUGAGAAUCCCGUAUUUGAUCACGUUAUUUCGCUAAGUGUGAUACACUUUCAAAGAGUCGGAUUGUUUGGGAAUACAGUCCAAAAUGGGUGGUAAAUUUCAUCUAAAGCCUAAAUAUUGGCGAGAGACCGAUAGCGAACAAGUACCGUGAGGGAAAGAUGAAAAGAACUUUGAAAAGAGAGUUAAACAGUACGUGAAAUUGUCAAAAGGGAAGCGUUUGACACCAGUGUUGUUUAGUUGAAAAUCAAUUUAAAUAAUUUUCGAUUUUAAGUAGUAUUGACUUCAUCAGCUUGCUGCUUUUUUCUCGGAAAUUAUUUAAUGCACUUUUCAGUUAACAAGUCAACAUCAAUUUCUUUUGUUGUAAAAGGGUAAGAGGAAGGUGGCUUACGCUUCGGCGUCAAGUGUUUAUAGCCUUUUACCUCUGCAAUCGGAGAGAUUGAGGUACAUGCAGCGUAGACUCCUUCGGGGGUUAGAUACACUUGUGCUAAGCUAUAGCUUUGUAUAGACAACUUGUUGACUAUGAUUAGUCAUUGUAGCUUACUCGCUUAUGCUAUUUUACCUACGCUUAGGAUGUUGAUAGUCACAGCGUGUAC
rnacentral:rRNA from 1 species